AGGGAGUGGAGACCUGGCGUAGCUAACGAACAGGGGACUGCAAACAGGGAAGUUUGAGAGGGGGAGAAGGAGAUCCCCCUGCUGAACGAGCAAGGUGCAAGUACUAGUCUUGGGAUAAAAAAGACUGAAAAAGGUUAAACUGGAGUAGACACCAGAGCAGCAGCUUUUUGAAUCAUGUCUGGGUUCUCCUUUCAAGCUUCAAAAUAUAUAUAAUACGUCAUGCCUAGAAGCAAGGGAGCCACCUCCCUAAGACAAACAGCCAGAGGACCUCCCAACCAGUGCUAUAGCAACAUCUACAGCCAGCAAUCCAUGUUCCUGCUAUGAAGCUCUCAACCAACACUUCUCAAUCUAGUAUGGAGGCUGAGGAAUUUCUUCAUCCAGGGAAUCAUUAUCACUGAGUUUAAUGGCAAAAACCAUCAAGCCACUCUAUUGAAAGCAUUCCCAGCUGCUGCCUGCUGACCCAGGAAGAGAGGGCCUACAAUGGGGAAAUCAAGCCCAGCUCCCCCUCAGCAAUGCAAAACACAAUACCCUAGGCUGGUCCCAAUGCCACUUUCUAAACCAAUAGGAAAGCCGUUUGCAGACAGCUAAAUGUCUUCUAAUUGAAUGAACUAACCCGGAUAUUAAAUAAAUACAACAAAUCCUGCAGACAAAUAAUCAGCAGCUCUGGCUACAGCUUCCCUGCUGUCCACAUGGCUGUCAACACACAGCUACCAGUGCGAUUUUAUAACCGGAAAUCUUUGGGGCAUCUGACCCCCUCCUUUACCUUCCCUUUCCUCCACUCCAUUUUAUGCACAUCAUCAUAAUUGUAUGCCAUCCAACAACUCAAUAUAAUUGAUAGUCUCUGAAUGAGAAGAUCCCAGAACUGGAAUGAUUGUUAAUGUUGCACGUCAGGGUAAAACAGCAAUGGCAGUUAUCUGUGAAAAGCCUGGAUAAACACGCCAGCACUAUGACCAUUUCUAACCAGCUCCAAGAGACCGUCACUUUCACGGGUACUAAAUUUUCUCAAAAAGCAGAGUGUCAUAUUCUGCUAUAGUGGAAUGGCUGCUGCCAUGACCAACAGUUUCAAAUGGUUUUCAUACUUUGUUUCAUGCAGACUGAUAAUAUUAAAGAUGACUCCAAGCCAAAGAAUUUAGAUCUCAUAUCAAACCCACAGCCUCAUCCCAAAGAUGAGAGGUGCUUGGAACCAGGGGGUUAUUCCGGCUUACAACAGGCAGAAGGGGUAACCACAAAAAGCAAGAUCCAGGACUUUGAUUUGGGCCCAAACACCAGUUAACAUUUUUUUCUCCACAAUAAAAGUUUAAGUAGCCAUGGGUUAGUUCUGUCUUUCCUGGCUGACUAUUGGCUCAGUUUUAAGGUGCCAUGCACACCAAGGAACCACAUACAAAUGUUGAACCAUUACCAUCAUCAGAAACAGAAAGAGCACCAUUGAUUCAUUUUAGGGAGCAAUCUGUAGUCUCUUGAACCGUUAUCCUUAUAGAAACAUUAAUAUA